rnacentral:rRNA from 12 species
UUAAAUUGAAGAGUUUGAUCAUGGCUCAGAUUGAACGCUGGCGGCAGGCCUAACACAUGCAAGUCGAACGGUAACAGGAAGCAGCUUGCUGCUUCGCUGACGAGUGGCGGACGGGUGAG